rnacentral:rRNA from 1 species
GCUGACGAGGCCUUUACUGACGCUAAAGCUCGAAGGUGCGGGUAUCGAACAGGAUUAGAUACCCUGGUAGUCCGCACGGUAAACGAUGGAUGCCCGCUGUUUGCGAUACACUGUGAGCGGCCAAGCGAAAGCGUUAAGCAUCCCACCUGGGGAGUACGCCGGCAACGGUGAAACUCAAAGGAAUUGACGGGGGCCCGCACAAGCGGAGGAACAUGUGGUUUAAUUCGAUGAUACGCGAGGAACCUUACCCGGGCUUGAACUGCCGGCGUACGAUACAGAGAUGUUGAGGCCCUUCGGGGCGCCGGUGGAGGUGCUGCAUGGUUGUCGUCAGCUCGUGCCGUGAGGUGUCGGCUUAAGUGCCAUAACGAGCGCAACCCCUCUCCGUAGUUGCCAUCGGGUGAUGCCGGGCACUCUGCGGACACUGCCACCGUAAGGUGUGAGGAAGGUGGGGAUGACGUCAAAUCAGCACGGCCCUUACGUCCGGGGCUACACACGUGUUACAAUGGGUGGUACAGAGGGCAGGCGGCCGGCGACGUCCGUCGAAUCCUAAAAGCCAUCCUCAGUUCGGACUGGGGUCUGCAACCCGACCCCACGAAGCUGG